GGAAAAGUAGUCAAAAAAGGCCUCUUAGCUUUGGAGUCAGAGGUCAUGGGUUCGAAUCCCAUCUCUCCCA
rnacentral:tRNA from 1 species